AUUGAACGCUGGCGGCAGGCCUAACACAUGCAAGUCGAACGAGUGGCGGACGGGUGAGUAAUGUCUGGGAAACUGCCCGAUGGCGGGGGAUAACUACUGGAAACGGUCGCUAAUACCGCAUACCAUCGGAUGUGCCCAGAUGGGAUUAGCUAGUGGGUGGGGUAACGGCUCACCUAGGCGACGAUCCCUAGCUGGUCUGCGAGGAUGACCAGCCACACUGGAACGGAGACACGGUCCAGACUCCUACGGGGGGCAGCAGUGGGGAAUAUUGCACAAGGGGCGCAAGCCUGAUGCGGCCAUGCCGCGUGUAGGAAGAAGGCCUUCGGGUGGUAAAGUACGUUCAGCGAGGAGGCGUUACUCGCAGAAGAAGCACCGGCUAACUCCGUGCCAGCAGCCGCGGUAAUAC
rnacentral:rRNA from 1 species